GGCAAGGUGGCCGAGUGGUUAAGGCGUUCGACUCAAGAAAUGUUUUCUUACCUGUCCUUGGCAGGUCGCAUUCGAAUAUGGAAACAUGCAAGGGUUCGAAUCCCUUCCUUGCCA